rnacentral:misc_RNA from 1 species
UUGCUUUGACAUGUGGUAAACAGAUGAUAGGAGCUAGCUGUGUUUUAUAGCAAAUGCUGUCUGUAUUGAUUUGUCACUGUUAUUCACUUACUGAAAUAUGAUGAUUUAGAGUAAUCCUUUGAUUUUAAUUUCAUUUUUUGCUGUUGUUGAUAUCGAAAUGCAAAUUAUAUGAUGAAAAUUUGUUUUUUUGCCUCUUCCUAGUUUGAUUGGAUUGGAUGGAUAUAUGGGAUGAUUUGUUAUUUGCUUGUUUGCUUGUCUACACAUAAAGGUUAAAUUUGAAAUUGACCAUCACGUGAACUGAAAUGUUAUCCAUCUCCUAAUUUGAUUAAUUGUUUUUGCUAAUUGUUGUAAGGUAUAAAAUGAUCUAUGGGACUGAUGUUUUCAUUUUCUUUCAUUUAGUUGAUUCUGACUUUUUUGUUGGUAAACUUGUGUUUAAAAGGGAAGGGCAAAUACAACAUGGGUUAUGCUAUGCUAUUUGGUGUUUCAUUGUCAAAUGGUUUUACAUUUGGGAAGGCAUGUUCUCAUGCUUUUCUGCGUCAUGUUAGCCAUGUAACUAAUGGUAGAAAUUAGCUAUUGGUGCUUAUGUCCUUUGUGUUUAUCAUUUCUGGUAUCAGAGUGGCUGACUGUGUUUACUUCUUUAUGUUUGAUAAUGAGUAAACUGUAAAGUAUGACAUCUCACAAGUUGCAUAAUG